rnacentral:rRNA from 1 species
CAGCAGCCGCGGUAAUACGAAGGGGGCUAGCGUUGUUCGGAAUCACUGGGCGUAAAGGGUGCGUAGGCGGACUCUUAAGUCAGGGGUGAAAUCCCGAGGCUAAACCUCGGAACUGCCUUUGAUACUGGGGAUCUUGAGUCCGGAAGAGGUGAGUGGAACUGCGAGUGUAGAGGUGAAAUUCGUAGAUAUUCGCAAGAACACCGGUGGCGAAGGCGGCUCACUGGUCCGGAACUGACGCUGAGGCACGACAGCGUGGGGAGCAAACAGGAUUAGAUACCCCCGUAGUCCCUGUCUCUUAUAC